UACGUAGGUGGCAAGCGUUGUCCGGAUUUACUGGGCGUAAAGAGCGCGCAGGCGGUCGUUCAAGUCGCGUGUGAAAGCCCCCGGCUCAACUGGGGAGGGUCACGCGAUACUGAUCGACUGGAAGGCAGGAGAGGGUAGUGGAAUUCCCGGUGUAGUGGUGAAAUGCGUAGAUAUCGGGAGGAACACCAGUGGCGAAGGCGACUACCUGGCCUGUUCUUGACGCUGAGGCGCGAAAACUAGGGGAGCAAACGGG
rnacentral:rRNA from 1 species